CUAGCCCAACCCACCGCCAAUCCAAUUACCACUGCAACCUCAAUCCAAAACAUUCAGUCACACUAUUACAGUAUAGGAGAUAGAAAUUUUAUUCGGAGCUAUAGAGAAAGUACCGCAAGGGAACGAUGAAAGAAAAAUUUAAAGUAACACAUAGCAAAGAUUACCCCUUGUACCUUUUGCAUAAUGAAUUAGCUAGAACAACCUAGCAAAGAGACCUUAAGCUAGACCUCCCGAAACCAGACGAGCUACUUAUGGACAACCCACGGGGGUGAACUCAUCUGUGUCGCAAAAUAGUGAGAAGAUUUAUAAGUAGAGGUGAAAAGCCUAACGAGCCUGGUGAUAGCUGGUUGCCCAGAGCAGAAUUUUAGUUCAACUUUAAAUUUACCUAAUAACCCCAAAAUUGAAAUGUAAAUUUAAAUUAUAAUCUAAAAAGGUACAGCUUUUUAGAACAAGGAUACAACCUUGCUUAGAGAGUAAAAUUAUAACGA
rnacentral:rRNA from 1 species